rnacentral:rRNA from 2 species
GAAGAAUGUAUCUGAUAGUAACUGAUCAGGUAGUGACGGUAUCCAACCAGAAAGCCACGGCUAACUACGUGCCAGCAGCCGCGGUAAUACGUAGGUGGCAAGCGUUGUCCGGAUUUAUUGGGCGUAAAGCGAGCGCAGGCGGUUUCUUAAGUCUGAUGUGAAAGCCUUCGGCUCAACCGAAGAAGUGCAUCGGAAACUGGGAAACUUGAGUGCAGAAGAGGACAGUGGAACUCCAUGUGUAGCGGUGAAAUGCGUAGAUAUAUGGAAGAACACCAGUGGCGAAGGCGGCUGUCUGGUCUGUAACUGACGCUGAGGCUCGAAAGCAUGGGUAGCAAACAGGAUUAGAUACCCUGGUAGUCCAUGCCGUAAACGAUGAGUGCUAGGUGUUGGAGGGUUUCCGCCCUUCAGUGCCGCAGCUAACGCAUUAAGCACUCCGCCUGGGGAGUACGACCGCAAGGUUGAAACUCAAAGGAAUUGACGGGGGCCCGCACAAGCGGUGGAGCAUGUGGUUUAAUUCGAAGCAACGCGAAGAACCUUACCAGGUCUUGACAUCCUUUGACCACUCUAGAGAUAGAGCUUUCCCUUCGGGGACAAAGUGACAGGUGGUGCAUGGUUGUCGUCAGCUCGUGUCGUGAGAUGUUGGGUUAAAGUCCCGCAACGAGCGCAACCCUUAUUA